GAGGUAAAAUUUUUUGGGAAAUUGUCAAAGCUUCUCGUCAACCGGAUAGUAACCAAUGUGAUUUCUAUGUCAUGGCUUACAUGAGAACUUUAAUUGAGCAUAUGCCAAACAUUGAUAAUAAAAAAUCUGUUCAAGCACUGUUCAACCAAGCUGAUUACGACAAAAUGGAUAUUGAUCUAGUG